rnacentral:lncRNA from 1 species
CCGAAAUUCCCUCUGUUUUUCGCACCUGUCGUCCUCUUUUACCGCCAUAACACGGCUAGAGAAAACUCAAAUUUGCAAAGGCUUCUUCAAGAAAGUGCGAUUUGCUGCAAAAUAGCUCCAGACUUCAGUACAAUCUUACAAAAUCAGUUCAUUUCAGUUGUUACACUGUGUAACUUUCACACGAUUUCGAUUUAUUCUACGUGAUACUGCUGAUUUUUACGCGUUCGCGUUUGUAGUAGUUCUCUUAGUAAUCUAGCCGUUUCAAUUUUUUUGCUGCUGUUAUUGGGGUUGAUUCUGUGCGGUUUUUGACCCUUUAUUUUCUUUAUUGGCGUAUAUUAUGUGGUGAUUGAUGCUUAAGUAUAUAAUAUUCUUUAUCUACAUAGCAUAUUACAUGGUUAUUGAUGCUUAAGGAAAAUAGGAAAUGAUUGUCCCUAAUUUAGCUUCACGUAUCUGUACUUCCCAAUUAAAUCUGUAAUUUGAGUUGCAAUGAGCAGGCGUUUGUGAGUUCAUUGAAUUAAAAUUGUAGAGCAGGUUCCACGUUAAUUUAGUACAUGCAUGACUAAUUCUACUAGUAUAAGUACUGUUAAUUUCCCCCUUUCUUGGUGCUGUUUUAAAAUUGUUUGCCAGAUGCUCAUCAUAUGUUAACUAGUGUUUUUUCCUGCUGGGUAUUAAUAGUAAUAAGCACUGGACUGUAAAAGUUAAUGAACUAAUUCGAAACAAAUUUGGGCCUUCUGAGAUCAAAUGCCCAAAUUCAAUCCAUGGGAUUUUAGUGGUCAUUGCACUUCACUCAGAUGGUUUGUGUUGUGAUGCUACCAAAAAUUCGCACCCUGGAAUAUCCCUGAGCUUGACGGCGAGAGAUGCACACAAACAGAAUCUCCAGUACCUGAAACAAAGGCGUUGAGGUGUGUCUUGUUGCCUCUCCGAUGCUUAAGUUAGAGCGUGAGGCUACAAACUAAAAAUUAUGUAAAAACAUGCCUUAAUGAUGAAUUGAGAUCAUGUAUUUAUAGUGUUGGGUAGCCUACUACUAGUAGGUUUAGGUCAUUCGAAUCUUUAAGAAUUUUACCACGCUCAAGAGUUGUAACUUGAUAGGUAUCGUGCAAUUGAUGUUUGGAUAAAGAUGAAACUCCGGUGGUAGAAUCCCACCAAGAUGAGAUGAAAUAGGUAUAUUAGGACUUAAUCUUAUCAGAAUUGAAUAAGCCUUAUCUUGUAGGAGAGUCCUGAUGAGUUAGGUGUUGUUAGAAGUAAGGUCAAGGCAUAAACUCAAGGAGACCUCCAGCCAAAGGGCAGUGUUCUAGCCCGAGGAUCCUAGAGAUGCUAUCACGAAAUGGGCAAACUUCAUCCUCAGGAUCGAAUGGUCGGGUCGUGAUGAUAUUUGUCUAUAUGAGUUUGCAUUUUACUGAUUACACCUGCUGAAGCAUAUACUUGC